rnacentral:rRNA from 1 species
GUCGGUGGUCAUAUCACCCUGAACACUCCAGAUCUCAUCUGAUCUCAGAAGCUAAGCAGGGUUGGGCCUGGUUAGUACUGAGAUGGGAGACCCCUGGAAAUACUGGGUAAUACAGGUG